rnacentral:tRNA from 1 species
GUUCUGGGGGUUAAGUGGUUAAAACGCCGGACCUGCGAUUCGGAGUCGUGGGUCCGAAUCCCACCAAAACA